CACACGGAAGGAGCCCGGCGGAAGACAGAUCGAUCUGUCUCUCGCGCUCCUACGCAAACGCACGAAGCACCCACUAGGAGAUCCAUCCCUCAGUCAGGAAGCACCAGGGGAGCCGCCGCGAGAUCGAUCCAUCACACGGACAUCCAUCACACGGAGCACGCAUCCGGGGAGCUCGUGCAGGCGGCCGAGACUCCGUACGCAACAGGGCGAGGCUCACCGGAGCUGCUAACGAAGAUCGCAUCAUGCCGAUCAUCUUCUCUGAAGGUACGCCGCCCCGCCUCCACCACAUCCAUUCUACCUCCGGAGGGCGUCCACUGGCACCGUUGGGUGCUUGUGCCCUCGCCUGCGCCGGGCCGAUCGAGGAAGCCCGAGUCGAAGGCGCGGGCCGCACGUCGCGAGAGGCAACGCGCGAGGGAGGCUAUGGCGGCGAGCAACGCGUCGGCGAGGCGCCGGGCACUCGCGCGCGUGCCGGUUAAUCUCGAGGACGCGCUCAUUGCGUCCAUCCUCCGGCGCUCCAUGACAACGGCAGAGACAGAUGCAUAUCGACUGCGGCGGAAGAACGCCAAGGCGCUUCGGCUCGCUAUCGAGUUGUCGGAGCGUGAGGCGUCGGCGAAGGCGGCGACGAAGGCAAAGGCGAGGAGGCACGCCGAAUAUUUUUUGAAACUGCAUCGUUUGGUUGUCCGAUGAUUGUUUAUGCUAUAAUUAUGCCCGAUAUAACUAGACUUGGUGCUAGUUCGUUGAUCUACGUAAGUUUAUUUUUAUA